CCCCAUCCCCCGGCUCGGAGGACGGCCUCCGCCAAUGGCAGAGCUCCCAGCUCAGAGCCUGCGGGUUAGGUUGUGAGGCUCCGGCCGGGGGCGGGGAGGAGCCGAGGGGGUGCAGAACGAGCUCGGCCGCUGGGUGGGUCGGGGCGUUCGGCGCGCCCUUCAUUGAAGCGGCGGUGGCCGGGCUGGGCGCCGGGAGUGGAAAGCGACGGCGCGGCUGGAAAAUGCCAGUCCACUCCCGAGGGGAUAAGAAGGAGACGAACCAUCACGAUGAGAUGGAGGUGGACUACGCCGAAAAUGAGGGGAGCAGCUCCGAGGACGAGGACACCGAGAGCUCGUCGGUCUCCGAGGAUGGAGAUAGCUCAGAAAUGGAUGAUGAAGACUGUGAAAGAAGAAGAAUGGAAUGUUUAGAUGAAAUGUCCAAUCUUGAAAAACAGUUUACCGAUCUCAAGGAUCAACUUUAUAAAGAACGAUUAAGUCAGGUGGAUGCAAAACUACAAGAAGUCAUAGCUGGAAAAGCACCAGAAUAUUUGGAACCACUGGCAACUUUACAAGAAAAUAUGCAAAUUCGUACAAAGGUAGCAGGAAUCUAUAGAGAGCUCUGCUUAGAAUCUGUAAAGAACAAAUAUGAAUGUGAAAUUCAAGCUUCUCGCCAGCAUUGUGAGAGUGAAAAGCUUUUGUUAUAUGAUACAGUCCAGAGUGAACUAGAGGAGAAGAUCAGAAGGCUUGAAGAAGACAGGCACAGCAUCGACAUUACCUCAGAGCUGUGGAAUGAUGAGCUUCAGUCAAGAAAAAAGAGGAAGGAUCCUUUCAGUCCUGACAAAAAGAAGCCAGUUGUUGUUUCAGGUCCAUAUAUAGUUUAUAUGCUGCAAGAUCUUGAUAUUCUUGAAGACUGGACAACAAUCAGGAAGGCGAUGGCUACCCUGGGUCCACACAGGGUGAAAACAGAACCACCUGUGAAACUGGAAAAACACCUGCACAGUGCUAGAUCUGAAGAGGGAAGAUUAUAUUAUGAUGGUGAAUGGUAUAUACGUGGACAGACAAUAUGUAUUGAUAAAAAAGAUGAAUGUCCUACAAGUGCCAUAAUUACAACAAUUAACCAUGAUGAAGUUUGGUUUAAGAGGCCUGAUGGAAGCAAAUCUAAGCUUUACAUUUCACAGCUACAGAAAGGAAAAUAUUCAAUUAAACAUUCGUAAUCAUGAUUUAAGUGUUAUCUAAAUCUACCUUAUUAGUGUUACCAAGUAUAAUGUGCCAUGGGAAUAAAAAAACAUAUUCAGUAACUUAAUAUUCUCAUCAAAUCUUGAGAGACUGUGUAUUUGUAGGUAGUACUCUAAGUAGACCUCAUGUUGAUAUGUUAUUAAAAGAGACAGUAAUAAACGUUUAAUCAUAAUCAUUACAUUUAUUUGCCUUUUAGGUCUAAUGACCAAUAGGUAUAUAUGGUAACUAUUCCAUAAUACGGAUACUGAUUCAGGAGGAAACUUGGACCCAGAAAUUUGGACAGCAGACACGUGCGCACAGGAAAGACCAUGCAAAGACACUGGGACGGCUACGAUCUGCAGGCCAAGGAGAGAGGCUUCAGAAGAAACUCAACCUGCCAACUCCUCGAUCCAGGACUUCUGGCCUCCAGAACCAUAAGAAAAUUAAUUUCUCCUGUUGAAGCCAUCCAGUCUGUAAUAGUUUGUUAUGGCGGCCCUAGCAAACUGAUAACAUGCCCCACGUUGACAGCUCUGGGAAAGUUAGACCGACCAACUCACAAUGGAUUGAAGUGACAGCCAAGUGUCAGUUUAAUUGUUUACUUGGGAAGUAUAACUGAGAAGGAGACCUGACUCCUCAAGUCAACUGGUAAACAUAUUCUUUCCUUCUAGGAAAAUCUGUGAAAGCAAACUUGGAAUCAGAAAAUUUCUUUGUUUAGUUGAAACCUCAGGUAGUCACCAGCCCUCUCGUGAGGUAGCCCCUUCCUGGUAUUGUGCUGGAUACAGGUAGAUAGGCCUGUGGAGGACAACAUGGAAAGCUGGAGACAUGAGAGAUGGACAGGUGGUUCUUGACAUUUAACUUCCUGCUUCCAGCUGACCCACAUCCACCUGCACCCCAGUCUUCCUCAUGUUACAUGGGCCUUCUAAUAAAGACCCCCUUUUCUAAUUUUUUUUUUGGAGCUGGUUUCUGACUCUUACAACAUUUAUCACAAACACUAGGGCUUCAAAUUCUAUUGAUUUCCAUCUUAAAAAUCAUAAUAAACUUUUAUGAUUUCACCACCAAUUCAAGGAAUAAAAAGGUAUCGGGAGAAUUGCACAUGUUCGUGUGAGAAAGAGAAAAGCAGUCCCUGGCCACUGGGAACGGCCUGGCCCUUAGUGCUGCGCCCUGGUGUUCUGCUGAACGUAAACAACCUCGCAGACACCAGCAUCACACAAGGCCACUCUGUGUCCGUGAUGAAAGGAGACAAAAAAUCAAGACCCUGUUCCCCCUUGUAACCUUGUCUAAGUAUAGACAAAACCAGGGUCAGCCUGCCAACCACAAAAUCCAACCCCCACCCCCAUCCCCAUCCUGGCUAAUAUGAACGGCUGCUGCUUCUGCUUUAUCAAUGCCAGCUUUGGCCUUAUUUCAUUCCUACUGCUUUAUAAGUAAGAUUUAUUGAGAUGCCCAACCAUGGAAGUGCCCCAACUUCCUGACAGUAUCCUAUCCAGAGCAAAGCCCCACGUCUGUGAACCCAACCUCAAAUCUCCUAUUACAAGCCCAAAUCCAGUAAGUCCUUUCUUACACCUUCUGUCUCAGACACCCACAGCUCCCCGUGGCGUGUGUGCUCCCUCACUGCAGUGAGCAGAAAACCCAACAUGUUCACUACUGCUGUGUUCCUGGUGACCUUUGGCUGCAGGGCACUGACCCAUGGAACCUUUAAAACUGUUUUGCUUGAUAAAUUGGGAGUUUGGGAUUUGCAGAUACUAGCUACUAUAUAUAAAACAGAUAGAUGACAACUUUAUACUGUAUAGCAUGUGGAACUAUAUUCAGUAUCUUGUAGUAGCCUAUAAUAAGAAUAUGAAAAUGAAUAUAUGUAUGUGUAUGUAUGACUGAAGCAUUAUGCUGUACACCAGAAAUUGACACAACAUUGUAAACUGACUACACUUCAAUAAAAAAACAAAAAACUG